rnacentral:lncRNA from 1 species
GUGUUUUGAGCAACAAAGGGAAAGCAGUACUUCUGCUUUGACACUUUCUCUAUCUCUCUCUCACUCUCACUCUCUCUACUGGCCGAACCCAGCAAGAAAAGCAGAGUAAUAGUUUUCCAGCCUUUGUUCUUCCUCCAUCAACCACCUCCAGACGUCGGACCACUCCCUUUGGCUUCGCCUGAGGCUGCUCUACCUACUGGAUGUCGUCUUUUCCUUCGGCACGACCUCAAGGUCCGGCAAACCAACUCGAACCUGGUUACACUCGAAAUUUAACUAACUCAUCCUCCUCGUGUUUUCGGCCACCAAUUCUCACCAAACUUCAUCCUCGAGCUCGCCUCAACAUCCUGAAACUCCCAGAAGUGUCCUUACACCGCGGCGCUACGCGUGGUGGCAGCUGGAAGCCAGACCCGAUCAAAAAUCGAAAAAACGAGCAAUCGAUCCGGAUAUCUCGAGCUACAGACCACCUCUUCCUGUAAUUCUUGAACUGGUGAACUCAGAUUGAAGUUCUGAACAACUUUCAUGAAGGGAUCGAAGCAAGUUGUUGAAGUUUCUACGUCGGAAUUCAAGCUUGUCGGAUUCUGGAAAUUUUCCGGCCACCGAAGCUUUCGAUCAAGAUAUCUCGAGCUGUAGUGCAUCGUUUUGAUUGAUUCUUGAACCAGUGAGUUCAUCUUGAUGUUAUUAACAACUCUCUAGAAGGAAUCGAGGCCUGAAAUUGAAUUUUUUACGUCGAAAUCAAGCUCGCCGUUUCUGCAAUUCUAGCCGGUUUCUGGAAAAAUUCCGGCCACCUCGACUGUUUUAGGUGAUCGACGGGAUGAUUUGGCGGACGAUUCGUAUAAUCGUGGUUGUGCUGUUAAGAAGACGCAGCUGGAUUAGAGCGGGAAAUCCUGUAGGUCAGGAGAAUCAGGGCGGUGAUCGUGCGGGUUAGAGUAUUUGUUAUAGUUUUACAGCAAUUGUAAUAGUGAGGUGAGUUAAGCUCAUUUGAGCCUUACAAUUUGAUUUGGUGAGAGUGUGCUGUAAUAAAUAAC